GAGAAGUCCGUGCGAGAGGGCCGGGUAAUACGGAGGAGCCAAGCGUGAUCCGGAAUCAUUGGUGUUAAAGGGUCCUUAGGCGGCCUUAUAAGUCAGCGGUGAAAGUUUUUGGCUUAACCAAAAAGUUGCCAUUGAUACUGUAGGGCUUGAAUGUUUGUGAAGUAACUAGAAUAUGUAGUGUAGCGGUGAAAUGCUUAGAUAUUACAUGGAAUACCAAUUGCGAAGGCAGGUUACUAACAAAUGAUUGACGCUGAUGGACGAAAGCGUGGGUAGCGAACAGGAUUAGAUACCCGAGUAGUC
rnacentral:rRNA from 1 species